rnacentral:lncRNA from 1 species
AUCUCAACCAUGAUGCAAUUGUAGUUCGAAAGAUGGCUAUCUCAGCUGUUGCUGGUAUCCUUAAACAGCUAAAAAGAACCCACAAAAAGCUGACCAUUAACCCCUGUGAAAUCAGUGGAUGCCCUAAACCCACCCAAAUUAUUGCUGGUGAUAGGCCUGAUAAUCAUUGGUUGCAUUAUGACAGCAAAACUAUACCAAGAACUAAAAAAGAAUGGGAGUCAAGUUGCUUUGUGGAAAAAACUCACUGGGGAUACUACACCUGGCCAAAGAAUAUGGUUGUUUAUGCUGGUGUGGAAGAGCAGCCUAAGCUUGGCAGAAGCAGGGAGGAUAUGACAGAGGCAGAACAGAUUAUAUUUGAUCAUUUUUCUGAUCCUAAAUUUGUUGAGCAGUUAAUUACUUUUCUAUCAUUAGAAGACAGAAAAGGAAAAGAUAAGUUUAAUCCACGACGUUUUUGCCUCUUUAAGGGUAUAUUCAGGAAUUUUGAUGAUGCCUUCCUGCCAGUUCUGAAGCCCCAUUUAGAACAUUUGGUUGCAGAUUCACAUGAAAGCACCCAGCGAUGUGUUGCAGAAAUUAUAGCUGGUUUAAUCAGAGGUUCUAAGCACUGGACAUUUGAAAAGGUGGAGAAGCUUUGGGAGCUUCUGUGCCCUCUGCUUAGAACAGCACUGUCCAAUAUUACCGUAGAAACUUAUAAUGACUGGGGAGCUUGUAUAGCAACAUCCUGUGAAAGCAGAGAUCCCCGGAAACUUCACUGGCUUUUUGAACUGCUGUUGGAAUCACCAUUGAGUGGUGAAGGAGGAUCCUUUGUAGAUGCAUGUCGACUUUAUGUACUACAAGGUGGCCUUGCCCAGCAAGAAUGGAGAGUGCCUGAACUAUUGCACAGACUACUGAAGUACUUGGAACCCAAACUCACCCAGGUUUAC